GGGGCUGUAGCUCAAUGGCAGAGUGCUUGCCUAGCAUGCAUGAGGCACUGGGUUUGAUCCUCAGCACCA
rnacentral:tRNA from 1 species